GCCAGCAGCCAUAUCACCCUGCAACUCACAACUGGCCACCCACUAAAGCUAAGCAGGUGUGAGACUGGUCAGUACCUGGAUAGGAGACCUCCUGGGAAAAACUAAAGUUGCUGCUGGAA
ensembl:rRNA 5S_rRNA 5S ribosomal RNA